GGUUGAUCCUGCCAGUAGUCAUAUGCUUGUCUCAAAGAUUAAGCCAUGCAUGUCUAAGUAUAAACUGCUUAUACUGUGAAACUGCGAAUGGCUCAUUAAAUCAGUUAUAGUUUAUUUGAUGGUACCUACUACUCGGAUAACCGUAGUAAUUCUAGAGCUAAUACGUGCGCACAACCCGACUUCUGGAAGGGUCGUAUUUAUUAGAUAAAAGGCCAGCCGGGCUCUGCCCGACCUGCGGUGAAUCAUGAUAACUUCACGAAUCGUAUGGCCUCGCGCCGACGAUGUUUCAUUCA
rnacentral:rRNA from 1 species